GUGGUAAGCUUAGUGGUAGAGCACUUGCCUAGCAUGUGUGAAGCACUGGGUUCAAUUCUUAGAACCACA
rnacentral:tRNA from 1 species